GAUGAACGCUGGCGGCGUGCCUAAUACAUGCAAGUCGAGCGAACGGACGAGAAGCUUGCUUCUCUGAUGUUAGCGGCGGACGGGUGAGUAACACGUGGAUAACCUACCUAUAAGACUGGGAUAACUUCGGGAAACCGGAGCUAAUACCGGAUAAUAUUUUGAACCGCAUGGUUCAAAAGUGAAAGACGGUCUUGCUGUCACUUAUAGAUGUAUCCGCGCUGCAUUAGCUAGUUGGUAAGGUAACGGCUUACCAAGGCAACGAUGCAUAGCCGACCUGAGAGGGUGACCGGCCACACUGGAACUGAGACACGGUCCAGACUCCUACGGGAGGCAGCAGUAGGGAAUCUUCCGCAAUGGGCGAAAGCCUGACGGAGCAACGCCGCGUGAGUGAUGAAGUUCUUCGGAUCGUAAAACUCUGUUAUUAGGGAAGAACAUAUGUGUAAGUAACUGUGCACAUCUUGACGGUACCUAAUCAGAAAGCCACGGCUAACUACGUG
rnacentral:rRNA from 1 species